ACAACUUUCAACAACGGAUCUCUUGGCUCUCGCAUCGAUGAAGAACGCAGCGAAAUGCGAUAAGUAAUGUGAAUUGCAGAAUUCAGUGAAACAUCGAAUCUUUGAACGCACCUUGCGCUCCUUGGCAUUCCAAGGAGCAUGCCUGUUUGAGUGUCAUUAAA
rnacentral:rRNA from 1 species